rnacentral:rRNA from 1 species
GUCUUUUUGGUAUUUAAUAUAAAGUCUGACCUGCCCACUGAAUAUUGUUUGAAGGGCCGCAGUAUUUUGACUGUGCAAAGGUAGCAUAAUCAUUAGUCUUUUAAUUGAAGGCUGGUAUGAAUGGUUGGAUGAGAUACAAGCUGUGUCAUAAAAAUUAAUAUUUGAAUUUAACUUUUUAGUCAAAAGGCUAAAAUAAUCUUAAAAGACGAGAAGACCCCAUAGAGCUUUAUAUAAUAUAUAUUUAAUUUAUUAAGAUUUAUUAAAUUUAGUUAUUUUGUUAUAUUUUGUUGGGGUGACAAUAAAAUUUAUAAAACUUUUAUUUUUAGUUAACAUUAAUUUAUGAUUAAAUGAUCCAGUUUUAUUGAUUAUAAAUUUAAGUUACCUUGGGGAUAACAGCGUAAUUUUUUUUGAGAGUUCUUAUCGACAAAAAAGAUUGCGACCUCGAUGUUGGAUUAAGAGUAAUUUUGGGUGUAGAAGUUCAAAAUUUAAGUCUGUUCGACUUUUAGAUUCUUACAU